GAGAUUGGCUUGCCAAACUCCAACCCUUGACUAUACCUUACGUUGCUUCGGCCUCACCGCCGAAGCCCCCACAACUCUAAACCUACAGUCUGAGUUAUUUUAAUAAGUUAAAAACUUUCAACAACGGAUCUCUUGGUUCC
rnacentral:misc_RNA from 1 species